UGAUGAUUAGGUGUUGGCGUGUAAAUUUGGAUAUAAUAUUUUGGUAAUGAUGAAAUCUGCAGAGCAGCACUAUAAUUAAGUUUUGAUAAAAUUUUAAUUAAAAUGGUUUGCGACGGUGUGUGUUGCGACAUAUUUCAGUUUUACCUGAUUUUUCACUAUUUUAAAUUAAGGUGUGAAUGGUUAUGCAAUUAAGAUGGACUCAUCUGCUUACAACAAACCGUCA
rnacentral:lncRNA from 1 species